UGAAAUUGAAAGGACAAAGAGAUGGGCAAACUUAGAAAAGAGAUGAUUGGUGUAGUCCAAACUUGAACACUGUUCGGUAAUCGGGUGAUAUCUGGAGCUGUAGAUCUUGGAUUUAGGUCCAUUUUAUAUGGAUGGAAAGAUAAGACAUAGGCCUACAAAUUUCAUGUGGAGCCCAAGAUUUAAAAAGGCCGUUUUCAAGUCCAAAUUGCAGCAACAACAAAGAAGUCCGAAUCUGUCCUGCAGCCCAGACACUGUUUAGUGUUCAGCCCAUAUCUCGAGUUCUAGAAGUCCAAAUGAUCUCAAAUUUUUACCCUGGAAAGAUGAGACAAUUCUCUAGAACUCUCAUGAUUGAAGUUUGUUCAGAUUAUGACGUCAUCAAUGACGUUUUUGGCAGACAAGAAGAUAAGGAUUGUCACCAAGUCAAGAUGUGGCCACCCACUCAUCAAUUA
rnacentral:lncRNA from 1 species